rnacentral:rRNA from 1 species
CUACGGGGGAGGCAGCAGUAGGGAAUCUUCCACAAUGGACGCAAGUCUGAUGGAGCACGCCGCGUGAGUGAAGAAGGUUUUCGGAUCGUAAAGCUCUGUUGUUGGUGAAGAAGGAUAGAGGCAGUAACUGGUCUUUAUUUGACGGUAAUCAACCAGAAAGUCACGGCUAACUACGUGCCAGCAGCCGCGGUAAUACGUAGGUGGCAAGCGUUGUCCGGAUUUAUUGGGCGUAAAGCGAGCGCAGGCGGAAUGAUAAGUCUGAUGUGAAAGCCCACGGCUCAACCGUGGAACUGCAUCGGAAACUGUCAUUCUUGAGUGCAGAAGAGGAGAGUGGAAUUCCAUGUGUAGCGGUGGAAUGCGUAGAUAUAUGGAAGAACACCAGUGGCGAAGGCGGCUCUCUGGUCUGCAACUGACGCUGAGGCUCGAAAGCAUGGGUAGCGAACAGGAUUAGAUACCUUGGGUAG